rnacentral:rRNA from 1 species
CCUACGGGGGGCUGCAGUGGGGAAUAUUGGGCAAUGGGCGAAAGCCUGACCCAGCAACGCCGCGUGAAGGAAGAAGGCCUUCGGGUUGUAAACUUCUUUUAUGGAGGACGAAGAAGUGACGGUACUCCAUGAAUAAGCCACGGCUAACUACGUGCCAGCAGCCGCGGUAAUACGUAGGUGGCAAGCGUUGUCCGGAUUUACUGGGUGUAAAGGGCGCGUAGGCGGGAUGGCAAGUCAGAUGUGAAAUCUGGGGGCUCAACCCUCAAACUGCAUUUGAAACUGUCGUUCUUGAGUAUCGGAGAGGCAAGUGGAAUUCCUAGUGUAGCGGUGAAAUGCGUAGAUAUUAGGAGGAACACCAGUGGCGAAGGCGGCUUGCUGGACGACAACUGACGCUGAGGCGCGAAAGCGUGGGGAGCAAACAGGAUUAGAUACCCCAGUAGUC